rnacentral:lncRNA from 1 species
AUGAAAUUGGCCACGGCAGAUUUCACUCGAUGUGAUGAUCAGGCUGCACGAGCUCCGGCUGCGGCUCUGGCCCAGCCUCAGCCCCUCCCCUGCCGGCCGAGCACAGCUAGCUCCGAGAUCGUGACCUCAGGAGGAAGACGCAGGCGGGCCUGCAGUGCCAUCCACAACUUGUGCAAUAUUCUUCCUGAGAACUUUGCCAUGAA